rnacentral:rRNA from 1 species
AACGCGAAGAACCUUACCGAGGCUUGACAUCCCUUGCUAACCGUAGAAACACGGUGUCCGUAGCAAUACGGCAAGGAGACAGGUGCUGCAUGGCUGUCGUCAGCUCGUGCCGUGAGGUGUUGGGUUAAGUCCCGCAACGAGCGCAACCCUCGUCGUGUGUUGGUCCUUUGGAUCUCUCACGCGAGACCGCCGGUGAGAAGCCGGAGGAAGGUGGGGAUGACGUCAAGUCAGCAUGGCCCUUACGUCUCGGGCUACACACGUGCUACAAUGGGUGCGACAACGAGUUCCAAACUCGCGAGGGUAAGGCAAUCUCUUAAACGCAUCCUCAGUUCGGAUUGAAGGCUGCAACUCGCCUUCAUGAAGUCGGAAUCGCUAGUAAACGCAGAUCAGCUACGCUGCGUUGAAUACGUUCCCGGGCCUUGUA